AAAAAGGGGAGCAGCAGCAGAGAGCAUUAGGCACCUCCUCCUCGUAUUUCCUCUCACGCCCACUUCCAGCAGAGGAGGUUUUUUUGCUUUCAGCUUUUGUCGCUUUAUUUUAAAAGUUAACUGGAAAAGAAUGUGCAAAGAGUCUGGGCAUUGGCCUGUGAGGAAACCCCCUCAGUGA
rnacentral:lncRNA from 1 species